rnacentral:rRNA from 1 species
GUGCCAGCAGCCGCGGUAAUACAGAGGGUGCAAGCAUUAAUCGGAUUUAUUGGGCGUAAAGAGCGUGUAGGCGGGUUUUUAAGUCAGAUGUGAAAUCCCGGGGCUCAACCCCGGAACAGCAUUUGAAACUGAAAAUCUUGAGGGUAGUCGGAGAAAAUGGAAUUCCACGUGUAGCGGUGAAAUGCGUAGAUAUGUGGAAGAACACCGGUGGCGAAGGCGAUUUUCUAGAUUAUUCCUGACGCUGAGGCGCGAAAGCAAGGGGAUCAAACAGGAUUAGAUACCCUGGUAGUCCUUGCCGUAAACGAUGUAUACUUGGUGUAACUGGACUCAACCCUAGUUGUGCCGAAGCUAACGCGAUAAGUAUACCGCCUGAGGAGUACGCUCGCAAGGGUAAA